rnacentral:lncRNA from 1 species
GGCAAAAGGACUUUCAUUUUCAGGAGUGCUAGACUAACAUGAACUUCCCUCAACCCCUUCUCCUCCUGAAAGGAGGAAAGGAAUAAACAAAUUAGCUAAUACAAUGAUUUAUCUCAUAGCAUUUGGAAUUUGCCCCCUUGAGCAAGCAAAUUCAUCAGCCAAAUCCCUGCAGUGAACGGUAAGGCUUAAGGGCUGUUACAAACCCUGUGCUUCAGCACAUGCAGAAUGAACCUUCAGGCUUCCUACCCUCUAUGAAUAAUCCCAGAAAAGCCAGCUGACCUGUCAGAGGCUGUGCAGAUAACGCCAGAAUACACGAUAUUAAUGAAGUAGUGGAGCUGUCACAAAGAGCAAGGAUCACUGUAAAAAUAAGGAGUGAAAAACUGAUUGCAUUACGGUUGUGAAAGUAAAUGGAUUUCACUCCUAUCCUCUAAUUUCUUCAUUUUUCAUCAGAUUCUGCCAAGGCUUCCAUCACAGAUAGGAAGAAGUCUGGAAAGCCACCUCCAUGCCCUGAUGCAGCACUACAACACGGCCCUGAAGUGGCAGCUGUGAAACGCAGAACAACCAGACAAAGCUGGUAACACAUUUGUACAGCCUGGGGUGUCGGGAGGAAUCAGCUCCACGGAGCAGACAAGGAGACAGAGAAGUGAAGUUUUAGGUUCUCUCCUCGGUUUGCUACAUUGCAAAGCAAGCUGUCCUCAAGUCCUUUGGGAAGCUUUUCUAUGCAACGAUUAUCCCUCUCUUCGAGUCUGAAAGGGAAUUACUGCACAUGAAUCUGGAGAGGUUCAGAGAAGCACUGAAAGGUUCUUGCAUUAGGGACUUCAAAGUGUGACCACCUAACUCCUGCCACCAGAAGCACGGAGGACACUGUGGAACCCAGGAACGUGGCUUUUUCCACCCAAGGACAUUUGUUGGCCCUGCUUGGAAGCCAAGUCAAGACGUGCUUCAUGCUAUUGUCAUCUUACCUUUAAGCUGCUGGGAUGAGAUCAGAGCCAAGAUCUGCUCAACCAAAGGGUGGUUCUGGUCUUGUGGAGUUGAAAUCUGGUGCAAACUGGAUCUUCACAACACAGAGCCCUGCAUUCAUCCUGGGAAUGGGGAGAUCAGAUGCCGGGAUGAGGGCCAGCAGAACUCCUUUCUGAUACAGCUCUUCCACUGA